GCGGCGGGAGCCUCUUUUCGGGCCCCGCCUGUGUAGGCAGGCCCUGGCUGGUUACGCGGCCCACAGUCGGAGACGUCAGAUGUAGGCCCGAAGUCGGCCACAGGUAGAGGGAAUUUUGUAAUCACCAAUCUGAUCUGGAACUAACAAUGCACAUGAUGAUAUGGAGAGUGACAGUAAAAUUGAGGUUUCCUGUUGAAUUCUAUUGAACAGAGUGAAAUAUAACAUUAUCUUCUGGUAGAAAUAAUCUUUUUGAACAGGACUCGAUUAACAGUGAAGUAGCUGAUUAUGCUGGAGAGAAAGGCAAACAAAAGAUGCAUGAUGGAAUAUGUACAGCAACAGGAAACAGUGUAUGUCUGGUUCUUUAUUUUUAAAAUGUAUUUAUUGAGGGAUUUAUAUCUUGCCUUUUGCCAUUGCAGAAUUUUUUUAAAAAUGUAAUAAAUUACAAUUAGGGUUAAAUUGUCAUUUUGUUGCAUGGGUAGUUAAAUAUAUUAUGCCUUAAUAAGGAAAAACCCAUCACAACACUUUCAAUAAUUCAAAAUACACCAAGAGAAUAUUAUCAUUUACAGUUCAAUAAUUAAUUAAUUAAUUAUAUCUCUUACUUAUUUCCUGCCCGUCACUUUAAAAACCAACACCAUCCACCAUCCUCUUAAAAAUACAUAUUCAACCAUCCUCCAUAAUGUCCCCCAACACAUUUCAAAACCAGGGCUGGGGCUGAACCUAUAGAGCGCUGGUACGGCUAUAGCAGGUACCAAAUGAAAAGGAGUAUGGGGGGAGGCACCGCCCAGGGGGGAUCACCCAUGUGCCUCGGUAGUAGAAGAUGGUCUUGGCCAGGCACCUAAACUCUUGCAGAGUCGGCAACUGCCAGACCUCCUGGGGGAGAGUGUUCCAGAGUGCUGGGGCCACCCCAACUUAAUUGAUAAUUAAGAUCAGAUUAAUAUUACUGUUAUGAAAUACCU